rnacentral:rRNA from 1 species
AAUAUUAGUCAAUGCUCGCAAGAGUGAACUAGCUAACUGAAAUCAAUAAAAUAUUGAUAACGUAAGGGAAAAUAAUGAUAGUACCUUACUAUUAGUGUCGUCCAAAUCUGGUGCCAGAAGACUCGGUAAGGCCAGAGACGCGAACGUUAAUCGUCUUAAUCAGGCGUAAAGGGUGUGUAGGCAGCUUUGACAUUAUCAAUUUUCAAUUAGCACAAUAUAAAAUUAAUAAAAGCUUUUAACAGUUUUUAAAUAAUUAAAUUAUUUUUAUUUAAGAAAUGUUUAAUAAAAAAAAGAAUUAUUAAUUUAAAAUAAAGGAAGAAUGAUAACAAUUAAAGCUAGAAUCAAAUAGAGGUUAUAUUAAAGAAUGCUUGGAGUAGGGCUGAUAUCCUUAGAUACCAGGUAGAAUAUUAAAAGCGAAGGCUUUUUUCCAUUAAUGAUUGACGCUGAGACACGAAGGGGAGGAAAGGAAAUAGGAUUAGAUACCCAAAAUACCCCUCCCUGUCAACGAUGAAUGGUGGUUACUAGUUAAAAAAUUAGUGGCGAUGUUAACACGAUAACCAUUCCGCCUUGUGAGUACGACUGCAAAGUUAAAAACAAAAAAAUUAGUCGGUUUCGAAGCAAACGAAGUGAAGCAUGUUAUUUAAUUC